CUCCGGUUGAUCCCGCCGGACCCGACUGCUAUCAGAGUGGGACUAAGCCAUGCGAGUCAACGUAGCAAUACGUGGCAUACGGCUCAGUAACACGUAGUCAACAUGCCCAGGGGACGAGGAUAACCUCGGGAAACUGAGGAUAAACCUCGAUAGGCCAUGAUUUCUGGAAUGAUUCUUGGCUCAAACCUAUAUGGCCCCUGGAUUGGACUGCGGCCGAUCAGGCUGUUGGUGAGGUAAUGGCCCACCAAACCUAUUACCGGUACGGGCUCUGAGAGGAGGAGCCCGGAGAUGGGCACUGAGACAAGGGCCCAGGCCCUAUGGGGCGCAGCAGGCGCGAAACCUCUGCAAUAGGCGAAAGCUUGACAGGGUUACUCUGAGUGAUUUCCGCUAAGGGAAUCUUUUGGCACCUCUAAAAAUGGUGCAGAAUAAGGGGUGGGCAAGUCUGGUGCCAGCCGCCGCGGUAAUACCAGCACCCCGAGUGGUCGGGACGAUUAUUGGGCCUAAAGCAUCCGUAGCCGGUCCUGCAAGUCUUCCGUUAAAUCCAGCUGCUCAACAGAUGGGCUGCGGGAGAUACUACAGGGCUAGGAGGCGGGAGAGGCAAGCGGUACUUUAUGGGUAGGGGUAAAAUCCGCUGAUCCAUAGAAGACCACCAGUGGCGAAGGCGGCUUGCCAGAACGCGCUCGACGGUGAGGGAUGAAAGCUGGGGGAGCAAACCGGAUUAGAUACCCGGGUAGUCCCAGCUGUAAACGAUGCAGACUCGGUGAUGGGUUGGCCUCGCGCCUGCCCAGUGCCGCAGGGAAGCCGUUAAGUCUGCCGCCUGNGGAGUACGGUCGCAAGACUGAAACUUAAAGGAAUGGCGGGGGAGCA
rnacentral:rRNA from 1 species